rnacentral:rRNA from 1 species
GACGAACGCUGGCGGCGUGCUUAACACAUGCAAGUCGAACGCUGAAGCUCAGCUUUUGUUGGGUGGAUGAGUGGCGAACGGGUGAGUAACACGUGAGUAACCUGCCCCCUUCUUUGGGAUAACGCCCGGAAACGGGUGCUAAUACUGGAUAUUCACUGGUCUUCGCAUGGGGGUUGGUGGAAAGGGUUUUUCUGGUGGGGGAUGGGCUCGCGGCCUAUCAGCUUGUUGGUGGGGUGAUGGCCUACCCAGGCUUUGACGGGUAGCCGGCCUGAGAGGGUGACCGGUCACAUUGGGACGGAGAUACGGCCCAGACUCCUACGGGAGGCAGCAGUGGGGAAUAUUGCACAAUGGGCGCAAGCCUGAUGCAGCGACGCCGCGUGAGGGAUGGAGGCCUUCGGGUUGUGAACCUCUUUCGCUCAUGGUCAAGCCGCAACAAUGGUUGUGGUGAGGGUAGUGGGUAAAGAAGCGCCGGCUAACUACGUG